AUUGAACGCUGGCGGAAUGCUUUACACAUGCAAGUCGAACGGCAGCACGGACUUCGGUCUGGUGGCGAGUGGCGAACGGGUGAGUAAUGUAUCGGAACGUGCCCAGUCGUGGGGGAUAACGUAGUGAAAAUUACGCUAAUACCGCAUACGAUCUAUGGAUGAAAGCGGGGGAUCGCAAGACCUCGCGCGAUUGGAGCGGCCGAUAUCGGAUUAGGUAGUUGGUGGGGUAAAGGCCCACCAAGCCAACGAUCUGUAGCUGGUCUGAGAGGACGACCAGCCACACUGGAACUGAGACACGGUCCAGACUCCGACGGGAGGCAGCAGUGGGGAAUUUUGGACAAUGGGCGAAAGCCUGAUCCAGCCAUUCCGCGUGCAGGAUGAAGGCCCUCGGGUUGUAAACUGCUUUUGUACAGAACGAAAAGGUUUCUACUAAUACUAGGAGCUCAUGACGGUACUGUAAGAAUGAGCACCGGCUAACUACGUGCCAGCCGCCGCAGUAA
rnacentral:rRNA from 1 species